rnacentral:rRNA from 1 species
UUGUGGUUAAAAAGCUCGUAGUUGGAUCUCGGCGGACUGAGGGCGGUUUGCUUGCUAGUAUUACUGCCCUAUAGUCCGUAGUUUUGCCAGAGGUUUCGGGGUGCUCUUAAUCGAGUGUCCCGGGAUGCUGGCAGGUUUACUUUGAAAAAAUUAGAGUGCUCAAAGCAGGCUAUUACGCCUGAAUAUUCGUGCAUGGAAUAAUAGAAUAGGAAGUCGUUUCUAUUUUGUUGGUUUUCGGAAAUCGACUUAAUGAUUAAUAGGGACAGUCGGGGGCAUUUGUAUUCAAACGACAGAGGUGAAAUUCUUGGACCGUUUGAAGACAAACUACUGCGAAAGCAUUUGCCAAGAAUGUUUUCAUUAAUCAAGAACGAAAGUUAAAGGUUCGAAGGCGAUUAGAUACCGCCCCAGUUUUAACCAUAAACGAUGCCAGCUAGCGAUCUGCGGACGUUUUUUUUGUAGACUCCGCAGGAAGCUUCCGGGAAACCAAAGCAUUUGGGUCCCAGGGGAAGUAUGGUUGCAAAGCUGAAACUUAAAGGAAUUGACGGAAAGGGCACCACCAGGAGUGGAGCCUGUGGCUUAAUUUGACUCAACACGGGAAAUCUCACCAGGCCCGGACACUGGAAGGAUGGACAGAUUGAU